GGCAGCAGGAAAGGGCGGAGGCAAGGCAGCAGUGAGAGGCCGAGCUUCCCAGGAAUGAAUGAGAAGAGAGCAGCGUAGCGAGAGGCCCGUUCGGAGUUAGUUGCCUCGUUGGGAGCUCGCUUGAUUAUCGGCGCAGAGUGGGAAGCAGCUGUAGGUUAAUCACCCCCCCUUCCCUCCCUCCCUCCUCAGUGGCCGGGGUGCACCGUCACCCUGAGCUUGAACCGUGAGGGAGCGGCGGCGGAUGAGGCGCGCACCGCGGCUGCCUGCAGCCGGCUGUGGGACAGCACAGGGCCCGGCCGCCGCGGCUUGACUCACCCGGCACUCAGCUGCCUUUGCCUCAGUGAUGUGGAGCGUGAGCGUCUCCCCUCAGCGACGUGCGGAGCAUGGAAACUCGCGACGCCCCAAAAGGUACAAACCGUGAGGAGCGGUCAGCGGCGGGGAGUACCGCCGCCGCGCCGAGGCCGCCGGGCCUGUUGUGGGAACCCAAGUACAGCCUGGUGCAGGAGGUAGGCCGCGGCAGCUACGGCGUGGUGUACGAGGCGGUGGUGAGGAAGAGCGGCGCCCGGGUGGCCAUCAAGAAGAUCCGCUGCGACGCUCCGGAGAACGUGGAGCUGGCCCUGUCCGAGUUCUGGGCGCUGACCAGCCUGAAGCGGCAACACGAGAACGUGAUCCAGUUCGAGGAGUGCGUACUGCAGCGCAACGGCAUCGCCCAGAAGAUGAGCCAUGGCAACAAGCGCUCCGAGUUCUACCUGCGCCUGGUCGAGACCUCGCUGAAGGGCGAGCGCAUCCUGGGCGCUGGCGAGCCCUGUUACCUCUGGUUCGUUAUGGAGUUCUGCAACGGCGGCGACCUCAACCAGUACGUGCUGUCCCGGAGGCCCGACUCGGCCAUCAACACCAGCUUCAUGCUCCAGCUGACCAGCGCCAUCGCUUUUUUGCACAAGAACCACAUAGUCCACCGGGAUCUCAAGCCCGACAACAUUCUGAUUUCGGAGAAGUCAGGAGUUCCCAUUCUCAAAGUGGCCGAUUUCGGCCUCAGUAAAGUCUGCGUCGUGGGCGGUGGAGCAGCGAAUAACAAAAACGUGAACGUCAACAAGUGCUGGCUGUCCUCGGCCUGUGGCUCUGAUUUCUAUAUGGCCCCGGAGGUCUGGGAAGGACACUACACGGCUAAAGCGGAUAUUUUUGCUUUGGGAAUAAUUAUAUGGGCCAUGAUUGAACGUAUAACUUUUAUUGAUGCCGAGACUAAGAAAGAACUGCUUGGGACCUACGUUAGACAGGGCAGUGAGAUUGUACCUGUAGGGGAAGCAUUGCUAGAAAACCCAAAGAUGGAACUACAUAUCCCACAGAAAAGGAGAACUUUCAUGUCUGAAGGGAUCAAGCAACUAAUUAAAGACAUGUUGGCUGCUAAUCCACAGGAUCGCCCAGACGCCUUUGAGUUAGAAACUAGGAUGGACCAGGUCAUUUGUGCUGCCUAAGUUAUCUAUUGUACAAUGGAAACUUGUAAAAGUUCUUGGCUUCCCACCCUCAACCUUUCUUCAACUGUUGAAAUGUGAAAUAUGUCUAAGCUCAUUGUUACUUUGGGUUGUUGAUGAGCAGGCCUAGGAUUUAAAAUCGGAGAAUGUCUUUCAUGUGCUUUGCUGAUUUCAGUAUGCUGCAUAGCAUGUUAUUUCAGCAGCCAAUUUGAAGCAAGUUUUGUUUAGAAAAAGAUCUUUUUACAAUGACCUCCCAGUUCUGGAAACACAUUUUUGCUUCUCCACCCACCCCACUUUCUUUGUGUUUGACUCUGAAUUACCUCAUUUUAAUCUCUUGUGUCAUUACCAUGUUUGUAAUUCCCUAGAGGAGCUUUGUUUUCUCAUGGGGGGAAAAAGCAAAUAAACUGGACGUAAUUUUCAACUUAUGAGCAACUUCUGCAGAUAACAUAGGGAAAAGUGCCUCUGCCAUGAACCUACUUUAUCAUUCAAUAAAUAUGGAGUAUCAUCUGACAUCAAGAAAACUGACAUGUAGAGGUGGAGAACUUGGAACAUAAGCUUUUUCUCAAGUGGAUGGGACUUUCCAUAGAAAUAAAGCUGAACAGCUUCCUUAUCAUACAAGGAUUGGAGACUUGCCACAUUUAGAGCUUCAGUGCUAGCUCAUGUCAGGACGAGGAAAGCUAUGCAAUUAAAUUGCUCAGAUCAUUUUUUGUGUGGGGAGGGUGCUGAGAAGGUGGGGGGAUAUUUUGGGGGUUUGGGAAAGAUGUUGACCAUGCAAUUAAACUUGUAUUUACACUAUUUCAUUGUACCUUCACUUUAUCUGAUUAAAUGGUGUCCUUGAACAUUUAAUUGGGUGGAUUGAAUUCUUAAUAGUUGUAUGACCCUUGUGUUUAUCUUUUAUUUUUUUGUAAAGUUAUGUAAGUAACAAAAAAUAGAAGCAUCUGCACUUGUCUUUCUGUGUGAUUUUUAAAAUGAUCAGCAUAAAUGACCAGAGUGCCUUAAAUUAUAGAUUUACUGAUGCUAAAUUGAAUUUUAGAAACUCCUAGCUACAAGUAGUUUUUUUUCUCUCUCUCUUACUGUAUUGGGAGAUAGUUCUAAUGGCCUGGGUUGAAGUGUGUCUGGUAAUCUGAUAACCUAGCAAAGAUUGAUUCAGUCAUAAAUUUAGUAGCUUCGUCAAAUGUAGAAUUGAAUAAACAUAACUGUUUGGAAGUUAAAAGUUAACACUUACCAUUUGCACCAGCCUUGCCCCCAACUCAUCACUUCACCCCUUGUAUUUAUAUUAAAAAAAAGUGGAACCAGAAAACUGGGUUAUAUAGAGUUAGGUAUUUGGAUUGAGGAUAAAGGAAAUAAAAAUCUAAUUGCUCAGCAACCACAUUUUAAAAUGCACAUCAGUCAAUUUUACAGGUCACUGAGGUCGUUAAUGUGGAAAUUAGAAAAUUGCCUAUGUUGAUUUUCUUGAAGUAUGUAAACAUACUCAAUGCUGUGAUGGCAGGUUUGAGACUUAAAAAAAUCCAAGUUUUCAGCACUCCUGAUUUUCCAUCAGUGUUUCUAGAAGAAUUGAAUGUUGUGAUUUAAGGUGUGCUAGCCUCUGCAUCAUGAAUGGAGUCUCAAUUUUGGUACUAUUAUCAAUUACUGUGCAAUAAGUGACUUGAGGUCCUUGAUGCUGAUACAGUGUAUACCAAAGUAGAAAAGCUUGACCUUUAACCAUUCAGUACAAAGAAAAUAUCCUCCUGUUAACAGGUAAUUAGAAUAAUUUGUUUUAUUUUUGCCACUAGUUUGAACAUGUAGUAUGGAGGCUGGCUCUCCAAAGUAUUCUAAAGGAUCCCCAGUACACACAUUACUACUAGGAUGAAACCUGAGAAUUAUGACCAAGAUAUGCAAGUGCCAUCAACUUGCGUCAUCUUAAAAUCUGAUGAUGAACCAAUCUGGUUUUCUUCCAAUGAAGUUUUAUCACAUUCUAACUUGAUCUAUCACUUGAAUAUCAAAAGUGGUUUAUUAUUUUCAAUGUCAGUUGCAAUAUCAGAACCAUUAUGGAGUGUAAACUUUGAAUUUAAUGAUACAUUGUGAAAAUAUUUUUAAAAGUCUUCAAGCUUUGAGCAUUGGACUGUAGAUGUGAUCAAGACAUAAAUAUAUGGAAACCAUUUUUAAUUCGUUUGUAUAGCAUUAUUUAUAUAAGCUUAAUAUAUGGCUUUCUCUUUCAGAAUACUGAGUAAUUUGAACAAAUUUGACGAUCAGGUGUAAAGUUUAUUUGUCAAAAGGUAAUCUGUAAAUAUUUGCCUUUUUUUGAGAAAGUGACCAUAUUUACUUAUUUCUACAAUUGAUUUUGUGGUUUGCACUUGGCUUUGCUUAACUCUGUAGCCUAAGCACUAUAAUACAUCACUCUAGUAAUGAAACUGAGGGCAAAUUUUAAAACACUGGCCUUUAGUUACAAAGAUCUGAAACAAUUGCCAAGGUGAGGGUUUACUGUUUCCAGAGAUUAAACAAAAUCUUAUUAAGCUUUUCAUAUCAACACCUUAAUGGAUCAGAGAAAUUUCAAGGUUUUCUCCCCAGUUUGGGGAUUCAAGAUAUAACUUUGGUCGAUACUACUAAUUAGCAAUUGAAAUAGAUGAAGUGUUAAAUUCUUGAAAACUUUGAAUUGUUACAUUUACAUAUUACUUAGGAAUGCUCCUUUAUUUAAAAUCUACAUGCUGUUAAUUCAUUUGGAGCAAAAUGCAAGGAUAUAAUUUUAAUGUUUAAUUUUGGAAACUGAGUUGAAAUGUGCAGAACUGUUUUUUUAAUUGGGAUUCUUAAUCUGCAAAUUGAGUCUUUAACCUUAGUAUUUCUAAGAAUGUAUCAGAUUAAACCUGUAUCAAAUGAUGCUUAUCUUUAGUGAUGCCCUUCCCCAUUUGGGCCAGAUAAAAUGAGUACUCUGUAUUUGCUGAUAUGUGGAUAUUUUUAUAAUUGAUGUUACAGACUUUCCCUUCAUCCCUGGAGCAGUAUUUUAUGCUGAAUGUACUUUGAGUAUUUGUGUAAUGUUCUAUUAUGUAUUUAGUGUGUUAGAACAUAGCAAGUUAAAGAAAAGUAAUGUGUUCUCCAGUAAUUGUUAGAGCUGAAAAUUAUACUCAAGAACAUUUGUAGGAUUCAAGGCAUAGUUCUUAAGAAUUAAAACAAGUCCUUACUAUAUAGGGACGCUGCCAAAAAGUAUCUUUAAAAAAUACUUAAAGCCAAGAAUGCUCCAAAUGUAGUUUUUGAAAAUAAAUUAAUACAGUUUUGAAUUACCUUGUUUACCAGAUCAAUAUGACCACUUAAGCAUCAGGAAGUUAGCUGAAUUUCAAACAAAUAAAUGGAGGCUGAAUUGAAAAUAGAAAAAUCUGAAAUGUGUAUUGAAACUAAAGCAUUGAUGCUUCUACUAAUGGGAAGAACAUCUCAAUGACUUUUUGCCCAACUUGCAUUAAUUGACCAUCAGACAUAAAUAUGUACUUGCUUUUCUUUUGCCAUAUAACUUAAUGUCCUUUGAAGCCAGGAUGACAAUGUGGCUUGGGUAUUGCAGGAAGAUGGCACUUGCAUAUUGAGAUCAAAUCCAAACUGAAGAUCUUGAGUUGCAGUGCUUGUUAAUCUAGGGAUAAACAUGCUAUAGUUUGAUGUAAUGUGUACUUUCCUCUACAGUUUGGCUUAUGUAACUGCAUGGACAUGUCGCAACAAAUCUUUUUACAAUCUUAGCAGCUAAAAUACAGGAAAAGAUGUGUCUACUGGUAGAUGAGCUGUUCUUUUCAAAGUUACUUCGGACUAUGAUUCUGGAAAUGGAGGGAAGAAAUGAGGGAACAGAUUCUGAGCAUUUUGUAUAGGGACACUGCUAGUUGUAACUGUGAGCGUUUAGGAUAUGUUUACUGAAGAGUUUUUGUGGUUUACAGAAGGAUUUGUUUCAAGAGAAUCCUUGUUUGUUUCUACCUCGUAUGCAGGACAUCACUCAAGUCUUGCUGGCUGAUGUAACACUGCUUGUAUGGUUGAUUUUUGCGAAUGCAUUAAGUUGCUUCCAAGAAUCUUUACUUCUAUGCAAAUUUUUUGUAUUCAAAUUUGAAACACUGUAAUACCAUAAUAUCUUUGUUGGUCCUUCUGCAUGGAACACAUCUUGUGGACCAAUAUUGAAUAUUGUUUCAUUUUCUUAUUUAACAUGAUUUGUAGUUUGGACUGGAGCCAUUUGAAUCUUCUAAUAUUGUCUUGGGAAGAAAUUUUGACAUGUUAUUUCAGCAAUAAAGGGUUUUAA